GCACAUGACCUGCCCAUACAACCAAACUCGUAACGCAAGUUUCACAAGAAGAAAACAGAAUUCAUUCCAGUUACUCACAAUAAGAAAAAAAUCAACUUUCUACAUAAAAAAUUGUACCCUCUAAUAUAAUCUCACCAAUCCUUUUGAUAAUGUCUUAAUUGAUUUCCGCCUGUCAUAGGCAAAUAUCAACUCAAAAUGGAAGGAAAGAAGCAUAUAACAUGAUAAUGGAAGAAAUUUUCCGAAAACUACCAUGAAUGAUGGUAAUAAUGGGAAGAAAUAAAAGCCAAAAUUGGAUAAAAGCUUACAACUUAAGAAAUUAUUUGGUUUUGAGGAAACCAACAAAAAAUACAAGAAAAGCAAAGAUUGCAUAUGACAUGAUCAAUUUAUUUUCUUCAUUUUAAUACAAGUACUAAACUAUCAUUUUUCAAAUCGUUGCCAUUUCAGUCUAAUACAUACAAACUUUCAUAGUCAUUAACUAGCACUACUUCCAUGACUUCACCCAUCUUCUUAUGUCAUACCAAGUCACUGCAGGUACAAAAUGAAUAAACCUCAUUAAUUUUUGGAAGUUUUUCUUUAAUUAUCCAAAAUUCCGUACUCUUGUCCAAUACCAUAACUAUUUAGAAAAGCAUUGCAGUGAAAUUCAUUACUCAAAUCAAUCUUUACUCUCACAAUUUCAAUUUCAAUUUCAAUUUCAAUUUCAAUUU
rnacentral:misc_RNA from 1 species